rnacentral:rRNA from 1 species
CAGCAUCCGCGGUAAUACGAAGGGUGCAAGCGUUACUCGGAAUUACUGGGCGUAAAGCGUGCGUAGGUGGUGGUUUAAGUCCGUUGUGAAAGCCCUGGGCUCAACCUGGGAAUUGCAGUGGAUACUGGGUCACUAGAGUGUGGUAGAGGAUAGUGGAAUUUCCGGUGUAGCAGUGAAAUGCGUAGAGAUCGGAAGGAACAUCUGUGGCGAAGGCGACUAUCUGGGCCAACACUGACACUGAGGCACGAAAGCGUGGGGAGCAAACAGGAUUAGAUACCCCAGUAGUCCCUGUCUCUUAUAC